GGCGGCCGAGCUUUGCCCUUUCCGAGUGGCCUAGGCUUUCCCGGGUACAGAAGUGUUCGGGGCUGCAAAGGUCCGAUGCCCGAAAAGGACUGUCUGCCCCAGGGACCAAGCUCAAGGACCUACCCAUGUCGAUCCCCUGGAUGACAAUGUUUGACUUUGCUGGAUCAGGUUCCAAUCCUAAACCGGAGGAAUAGCUUUCAUUUGCAAGACAGACAAGGUCCCCAAUUUUAGAAGCAGGUACUGGAACUGCGGGGAAGGGGAAAGCCCCAGAAAAAAGUGAGCAGUGAUUGCCCCGAUGAUACCCGACACCCUUGGGCCCUUGGUGUUGGCCCGCCAGGAUUGCAAAAGAGGGCAGGCCGAGAGGGCCAGCAGGGAGGCGUGCGGCGUGGGCAGGGCAUGGGAAGCUCGAGGAGCAAAAACACGCAGAGCGGCCGCCAGCAGCCGGUGUGGAGGGCGUGGGAGGCAACGCAGAGCAAAGGACUAAAAGCAGGGAUUGACUUCUCACCAGAGACGAGUGGAUUAUCAAAGACUCUGGGCGGGUACUGAGCAAGCUGUCAAGCAACCUUGCAAAGAAGAGGCGGCGCAGGGUGGAGGAUGGACGAGUCCCAUUCCUGCACCUGCAGUGUAAACACGUGAUGAUGAUCUGGAAGCUCUUAACCUGCCCAAUGCCCCACCCUGCUCGAGACCCAGAUUCCCAGCAUUACAUCCAGUCUACGUGGACACCAGUGCUGUCCAAGAAACCACUAAGACUGCAUAUUUACCAAAUUCCCAAAGAAGUUUACUCUGAGUACCUAUGGACAAAAAGGUGUGUUAAAACAUGACCAUCUAUUCAAUGAUACAGGUAGCCUUUCAUUUGUCUAAUUUCUAAUUAAAGUAUCAGUCAUAGGAGCAUAUUACUUGAAGCGCUUAUCAUUGGAUUUCUCCUAGACGGUCUACCUUAAAGCUCCAGUGUCUUGAGAAUUAAACUCCUGACUACAUGUUAGUCCAUGGCCAAGGAUCCUGCUUUUGCCAGUUUAAGGCACUUGCUGGGGCCUCUGAGUGCAGGCCUUCCCUCUGCUUGUCCAUAUUUGGAGAACUCUGUGGCCUCUUUAAACAGGAUAAUCAGCACAGGAUGCAGCUCCAGAGGAAAUUCCCAAAGGAAGGAGGCAACACAGAAGCAUUUUUAAACUCCAGCUACAUGGAAAAGAGGAAAGGGGGAACGUGUCAAAUCUUAGGUUUUGGAGCCUGCUCCCUCGGGAGAAUUCUAAAUAAUGGCGGUCAUCCUGUUGAAUAUUAAACUGAGGACUGGAUGGCUGAGAGAACACAAUCACAAACAUCUGGACACUAUCUCCUAACUAGGCCAAAGGUUUUAUUACCCACAGAAGGGAUGGGGCUCAGUCCUUCUUGCCGACUGCCUUUCUCAUGACUGCAAGAACAUCACUCAGCUCCUCUCUUCCUCUUGGCAUGGAUGUGUGUCCCCACCCUUUUCUUGAUGAAUUUCAGGCCCUCUUGUUCUUAGAGACCUUGAGCAGCUCCAUGGUGUGAUGCGCAUGGAGGACAAAGCCACACACCUCUCGGAUCAUGUCCUGCACGAACUUGGCAUGCUUACUGAGGUGCCCAUGGCAACCGCUGGGCCUCAGCUUGCUCACAUUCUUGGUCACCUGUGGCCCUACUUGAGGUCAUGGCCAUGGCGUAGCCCAGAGCUAUGGCUGCUACUCCUCAAUGGCUGUUGUGGUAGAAGGACCAACAGCUGUACCUAUUAUACCCUACACCAUAAACUUCAAGAAAAUGUUCAAGUGUGAAGAUAAACAAAACAAGACAAAAAAACCAAAUAAACAGAAAACAAUGCCUACAUGUCAUUGUAGACACAAGAGCAGGUUCUUAUUGAGCAACUGUUAAGUAUGGAAUCCAAGGUUUGUGCUGGGGUGGUGUGUGGGCAGAACCAAUCUUGGUGAUCCACCACUUUCCAUCUAGAGUCUAGAUACUUGGCUUCACCAUUUGCCUCUCAAAUUUCUUGCAUUGUUCCCCUUCAGUUCACCAGCCCCUCUUCCAUGUAAAAACUCAGUUACAGGCCUGGUAUACUGGUAAAUGUUUUAACAAUUGUCUAUUCAGAAAAAAAGAAAUAAACCUCAAGUUUAUAGCAUUUAUUCUUUCUGUAAUAUAAAUGCUCCCACCAUAGCUGGUGGUAAGCUGCCUCGUGGCAUUACUGAACACAGAGUUGGGAGGUGGUCCAUAAGUGGCUCCAGCUGGCCACUGGAAAUCUGUGGGAGAAAGAGCAAGAAGGAAAGUAAAAGGUCAAAAGGACACGGACACCAGAGAGUGAGAAGGAAGUGGAUGAAGACAUGGAGUUAACUUUCAUUGUUGUGAUUCAGGAGCAUAGCCACCUACUUCAGGU